GAUGAACGCUGGCGGCGUGCCUAACACAUGCAAGUCGAGCGGAGAAUAAGGAGGAGCUUGCUCCACCUUAUACUUAGCGGCGGACGGGUGAGUAACGCGUGGGCAACCUGCCCUAUACAGGGGGAUAACACUAAGAAAUUGGUGCUAAUACCCCAUAAGCUGACGAGACGGCAUCGUUUUGGUGGAAACGAUUUAUCGGUAUAGGAGGGACCAGCGUCUGAUUAGCUAGUUGGUGAGGUAACGGCUCACCAAGGCGACGAUCAGUAGCCGACCUGAGAGGGUGAUCGGCAACAAUGGAACUGGGACACGGUCCAAACGCCUACGGGAGGCAGCAGUGAGGAAUAUUGCACACUGGGGGAAACGCUGAUGCAGCAACGCCGCGUGAAGGAAGAAGUAGUUCGGUAUGUAAACUUCUAUCAACAGGGAAGAACAAAAUGACGGUACCUGACUAAGAAGCACCGGCUAAAUACGUGCCAGCCGCCGCUGUAACAC
rnacentral:rRNA from 1 species